UACGAAAGGGGCUAGCGUUGUUCGGAAUUACUGGGCGUAAAGGGCGCGUAGGCGGUCUUGUAAGUCAGAUGUGAAAGCCCCGGGCUCAACCCGGGAAUAGCAUUUGAUACUGCGAGGCUUGGGUCCGGGAGAGGAUGGCGGAAUUCCCAGUGUAGAGGUGAAAUUCGUAGAUAUUGGGAAGAACUCCGGUGGCGAAGGCGGCCAUCUGGACCGGUACUGACGCUGGGGCGCGAAAGCGUGGGGAGCACACAGG
rnacentral:rRNA from 1 species